rnacentral:rRNA from 1 species
UAGGGUGCGAGCGUUGUCCGGAAUUAUUGGGCGUAAAGAGCUUGUAGGCGGUUUGUCGCGUCUGCUGUGAAAGCCCGGGGCUUAACUCCGGGUCUGCAGUGGGUACGGGCAGACUAGAGUGUGGUAGGGGAGACUGGAAUUCCUGGUGUAGCGGUGAAAUGCGCAGAUAUCAGGAGGAACACCGAUGGCGAAGGCAGGUCUCUGGGCCAUAACUGACGCUGAGAAGCGAAAGCAUGGGGAGCGAACAGGAUUAGAUACCCUGGUAGUCCAUGCCGUAAACGUUGGGCGCUAGGUGUGGGGCUCAUUCCACGAGUUCCGUGCCGUAGCUAACGCAUUAAGCGCCC